GGUUAUUUUUCAGCAGUUGGGCUCAGCCCCUUAUUUCAGUUAAAGGAACUCUUGAUACGUCAGCAUACCAAGACUGUCAUGGUCCUGGGUCAUUUUGACCCAGCGUUCUUUGUUUCCUUGUGUUUCUGUAGAAUGUUAAGUUCAUCUGUUGUUCUGGGAGUUAUUCUAUCGGUCCUAAGUUGUUUAGUUUAUCGGGUUUCCCCUCCUUGUUUUAUUCCCUGUUUCCCCAGCCCGUCAUGUCUGUGCUCUCCCUCAUGCGCUUCAAUGUUUUUCCCUCCCCCUCUGGUCUGCAUCUGUGUAUUUCCUGUUUUAUUGUGAAGUUCCGUGUCUUAUGUCAGUGUGUUCAGUUUACGUUUCCCCUGUCUCAUCAGCUCUGAUUGCUCCCAGCUGUAUUGCCUCCUGUUUCCCAUUCCCUGAUUGCUCCUGUCAGUAUAUAAGCUCUGUGUUUUCUCCUGCUUGUUGCUGGUCCAUCUGUGGCUGUAUCCCAAUUCAGGUUCUGCAGCCUUAAAGUACGCAGCCUUAACGGUCCUCAAGGGCCGCGUGCUCAAAGACCGCUAAGGCCGGAAGUGAGAGGCUUGUGAAAUGGGAUGGUCUAGCCUCCGUUGCGCUGCCCAGGUUGCCUAGCAACCAUGAUACUAACAGCUGGAAACGUUUCAUACAGCUUUGUUUGACAGAAAUGAAGGAGAACAUAUUUUGUUCAUUUGUUUCUACAUGAGCUCUGUGUGAUUUAAUAAGUAUCUGAGGCUGAGACCACAGGACUGUAAAACAUGAUUGUUGGCCUUCAUAUCUGUACUGAACAGUCAUUUUAAGAUUAGGCUAGUAAAUAACAAUUAGCCAAUGUUGUUCAUGAGACUAAAAUUGCCAAAUUCUUCACUUCGUCCAUGUAGGCCGAUGAGGCGGCAUACAUUUAAGUAAAGUGUAAAGUGUAAAGUGUGUUGUGUUAGUCCCCGAAGGGAAAUUACUCCUCUGCAUUUAACCCAUUCACCCAGUGAAGCAGUGGGCAGCCACCAGUGCAGCGCCCGGGGAGCAGUGUGUAGGGGCGGUACCUUGCUCAGGGGUACCUCAGGGUAGCCGUUCAGUGGGGUCGAACCCCCGGCCUUCCGAUCAUGGGGCAGACACUCUACCUACUGAGCUAUCCCUGCCCUGAAACUGGACGAAGUGAAGAAUUUGGCAUCAUGGUGCCAGGACAACCACCUCCAGCUGAACAUCAGCAAGACCAAGGAGCUGGUGGUGGACUUCAGAAGGAGUCAGCACAGAGACUACAAGCCCAUUUUCAUCAAUGGAGCUCCAGUGGAGAGGGUGCAGUCCUUCAAAUAUCUUGGUGUCCACAUCUCCUCAGACCUGACAUGGGCUGCCCACAUUCAGGUCCAGACCAAGAAGGCUAGGCAGCGCCUGUAUCACCUCCGACAACUAAGGAAGUUCAGGGUCUCUCCAAAGAUCCUCAGGAUCUUCUAUACAGGCGCUGUGGAGAGCAUCCUCACACAGAACAUGACAGCGUGGUUCGGGAACAGCUGUGUGAAGGACCAAAAGGCUCUCCAGAGAGUGAUCCAUACAGCAGAACGCUGCUGCAGGAUUGCUCUCCCCCCGCUUCAGGACACCUACACCAGGAGAUGCCGGACUAGAGCAACGCAGAUACUGAAGGACCCGUCCCAUCCUGCACUGUAAAAUCUAAAUCAGCAACUUAUGUGAACUUGACAAUGUGGGUAAGUUGAGCACAGCAGGAUUCAAAACUGCCUCACGUGACUGCUACCGAGGUGCAUCAUGGGGAAUUGGCGGUUAACGACAUGCUCACUUUACUUGGACGUUUUCUAAUCGUCUUCUUUGGAAUAUGCUUUCAAGGUGAGUAACAUUGGUUAUAACUAUAAGGAAAGAGAGCUACAAAAGUUGGAACAUGUUUUGAAUUUAUGGCAUGACGUGUGUUUUUCUCUUUUACCGAAAUGUUUGCUUUAGCUAAUGUAACUUUAGCCGACAAGGUCCAGCUUGUAUGUCAUGACCAAACUUGACCUAAUAAACUGACAUAUGGCCUUUUUUAUGGGUUUAAUGUGGCACUGACCAAAUCACAAGUAUUGUGCCGCUAGCUUUAAGGUUGUGCACUCAACCACUGUUGCGAUAUUAGCAAGCUAACUCAGCUAAUUAAUAAAGCUUAUUUCAUAUUGUCUCUGUACUUGUAAAUUUCUUUCAAGUUCACAGGCUGUUGUAUUUUGGUGGAAGUUCAUUUUGGCAAUAUUUCCAAUAACUGACUGGGUUCAAAAAGAACUUUUUGGCAGGACUCGGAUGCUUGUUGUCAUCUGUUUACCCCUAUGUAAUCACUUAAGUUGUUAUUAACUGCUGCAUGCUAAGCUGCAAGAGUGCACUGCGGACUGAGACAAAAUAUGGUCUACAAACCAGCAUUAUAUUAGUUUUUAUCAGAUAGUCCUCCAGUGUGUUUAGUUUUUGCUUUAAUUCUAUUGUGCAGUUAUUUGUUACCCUGAAAUGCUUUAUGCUUAACAACAGCUCACUAUUUUGACUUAUUUUUGAACUCUUGUGAUCAGUAUGACUAGAUUGUGUGAGUUUCCAUACUAAAAGAGCUGUAGUGAUAAAAUAAUUGGCAUCAGAG
ensembl:lncRNA